rnacentral:rRNA from 1 species
AUUGAACGCUGGCGGCAGGCUUAACACAUGCAAGUCGAGCGGAGUGAUGGUGCUUGCACUAUCACUUAGCGGCGGACGGGUGAGUAAUGCUUAGGAAUCUGCCUAUUAGUGGGGGACAACAUCUCGAAAGGGAUGCUAAUACCGCAUACGUCCUACGGGAGAAAGCAGGGGAUCACUUGUGACCUUGCGCUAAUAGAUGAGCCUAAGUCGGAUUAGCUAGUUGGUGGGGUAAAGGCCUACCAAGGCGACGAUCUGUAGCGGGUCUGAGAGGAUGAUCCGCCACACUGGGACUGAGACACGGCCCAGACUCCUACGGGAGGCAGCAGUGGGGAAUAUUGGACAAUGGGGGGAACCCUGACCCAGCCAUGCCGCGUGUGUGAAGAAGGCCUUAUGGUUGUAAAGCACUUUAAGCGAGGAGGAGGCUUACCUAGUUAAUACCUGGGAUAAGUGGACGUUACUCGCAGAAUAAGCACCGGCUAACUCUGUGCCAGCCGCCGCCGUAA